GCUUGAUGCAGCCAUACCGCGUGUGUGAAGAAGGCCCGAGGGUUGUAAAGCACUUUCAAUUGUGAGGAAGGUUCAGUAGUUAAUACCUGCUGUUCUUGACGUUAACUUUAGAAGAAGCACCGGCUAACUCUGUGCCAGCAGCCGCGGUAAUACAGAGGGUGCAAGCGUUAUUCGGAAUUACUGGGCGUAAAGCGCGCGUAGGCGGAAUAUUAAGUCAGUUGUGAAAGCCCAGGGCUCAACCUUGGAACUGCUUCUGAUACUGGUAUUCUAGAGUUUAGUAGAGGGAAGGGGAAUUCCUAGUGUAGCAGUGAAAUGCGUAGAUAUUAGGAGGAACAUCAGUGGCGAAGGCGCCUUCCUGGACUAAAACUGACGCUGAGGUGCGAAAGCGUGGGUAGCGAACGGGAUUAGAUACCCCGGUAGUCCACGCCGUAAACGAUGUCAACUAGUUGUUGGCCUUAUUAAAAAGGUUAGUAACGCAGCUAACGCGAUAAGUUGACCGCCUGGGGAGUACGGUCGCAAGAUUAAAAC
rnacentral:rRNA from 1 species